AGAGUUCGAUCCUGGCUCAGGAUGAACGCUGGCGGCGCGCCUAACACAUGCAAGUCGAACGGUUAAAGCCCCUUCGGGGGUGCAUAGAGUGGCGAACGGCUGAGUAACACGUGGGCAACCUGCCCCCCGCACCGGGACAGCCUCGGGAAACCGUGGUUAAUACCGGAUACUCCGCCACCCCCGCAUGGGGGCGGCGGGAAAGCCCAGGCGGAGGGGGAUGGGCCCGCGGCCUGUUAGCUCGUUGGCGGGGUAACGGCCCACCAAGGCGAUGAUGGGUAGCCGGGUUGAGAGACCGACCGGCCAGAUUGGGACUGAGACACGGCCCAGACUCCUACGGGAGGCAGCAGUGGGGAAUCUUGCACAAUGGGCGAAAGCCUGAUGCAGCGACGCCGCGUGCGGGACGAAGGCCUUCGGGUCGUAAACCGCUUUCAGCAGGGACGAGGCCGCGAGGUGACGGUACCUGCAGAAGAAGCCCCGGCUAACUACGUGCCAGCAGCCGCGGUAAUACGUAGGGGGCGAGCGUUAUCCGGAUUCAUUGGGCGUAAAGCGCGCGCAGGCGGCCUGCUCGGUCGGGAGUCAAAUCCGGGGGCUCAACCCCCGCCCGCUCCCGAUACCGGCGGGCUUGAGUCUGGUAGGGGAAGGCGGAAUUCCCAGUGUAGCGGUGGAAUGCGCAGAUAUUGGGAAGAACACCGGUGGCGAAGGCGGCCUUCUGGGCCACGACUGACGCUGAGGCGCGAAAGCUAGGGGAGCGAACAGGAUUAGAUACCCUGGUAGUCCUAGCCGUAAACGAUGGACACUAGGUGUGGGGGGAGGAUCCCUCCGUGCCGCAGCCAACGCAUUAAGUGUCCCGCCUGGGGAGUACGGCCGCAAGGCUAAAACUCAAAGGAAUUGACGGGGGCCCGCACAAGCGGCGGAGCAUGCGGAUUAAUUCGAUGCAACGCGAAGAACCUUACCAAGGCUUGACAUGCGCCCCGGGCGCGCGGAGACGCGCGCGCAUUUGGUUGGGGGUGUGCAGGUGGUGCAUGGUUGUCGUCAGCUCGUGUCGUGAGAUGUUGGGUUAAGUCCCGCAACGAGCGCAACCCCCGUCGCAUGUUGCCAGCGGUUAGGCCGGGCACCCAUGCGAGACCGCCGGCGUCAAGCCGGAGGAAGGUGGGGACGACGUCAAGUCAUCAUGCCCCUUAUGUCCUGGGCUGCACACGUGCUACAAUGGCCGGCACAGCGGGCCGCCACCGCGCGAGCGGGAGCGAAUCCCCAAAGCCGGCCCCAGUUCGGAUUGGAGGCUGCAACCCGCCUCCAUGAAGUCGGAGUUGCUAGUAAUCGCGGAUCAGCACGCCGCGGUGAAUGCGUUCCCGGGCCUUGUACACACCGCCCGUCACACCACCCGAGUCGUCUGCACCCGAAGUCGCCGGCCCAACCCGCGAGGGGGGGAGGCGCCGAAGGUGUGGAGGGUAAGGGGGGUGAAGUCGUAACAAGGUAGCCGUACCGGAAGGUGCGGCUG
rnacentral:rRNA from 1 species